UACGGGGGGAGCAAGCGUUGUUCGGAUUUACUGGGCGUAAAGGGCGCGUAGGCGGUAGCACAAGUCAGUUGUGAAAUCUCCGGGCUUAACUCGGAAAGGUCAACUGAUACUGUGCGACUAGAGUGCAGAAGGGGCAACUGGAAUUCUCGGUGUAGCGGUGAAAUGCGUAGAUAUCGAGAGGAACACCUGCGGCGAAGGCGGGUUGCUGGGCUGACACUGACGCUGAGGCGCGAAAGCCAGGGGAUCGAACGGG
rnacentral:rRNA from 1 species